GUAACUCAGUGGGUCAGUAACUCAGAUGUUUCAGGUCGGGGCCCCUGAAUAGAUAUGGCAAGCAACAUGAAUAAGGAAUCUUGGGAUGAGCCAAAGAUAUGUCCAACCGGGUAAGAAGACCUCGGGUAGAUCAGUGGUUCAUCGUGGGAUGUGGUGAGUGAGGUAGAGGCAGGGACAGAAGUGACGAUUAUCGUGACACUAGUGCUGAGGAACUGAGCUGGUCAGGCAGCAUUUCUGGAGACCAUGGACAGGCUCAAUCACUCAAUGGUAAUUAACCAGUUCAUUGGCUCGGGAGAUAUAAAGACUGAAACAGAUAUAACCAUACUCACUGAGAUAUUGUCCCUCUGCAACCUCCCACCCUUGCACUUCCAGAUCCCAAGGACAUCCAUUUACUUUGUCCGUAGACAAAAAUGCUGGAGAAACUCAGCGGGUGAGGCAGCAUCUAUGGAGCGAAGGAAAUAGGCAACGUUUCGGGUCGAGACCCUUCUUCAAGGACAUCCAUUUACUUUAAAUUCCCUUUCAUGUCAGCAUUGACAAAAAAAAACUCUCUCCAGAAUUACUCUAUCUGACAGCCACUUCUUCCUCUUGGCUCGGAUUACUCAGCUCGCUGUCAUUGUGCAAUACCCAAGUGUCUUAUGCUUCUAGACAGUAAACAUAAUUUCCUACCACAUUCCGCUUAAUAAAGCUCCUUUUACAGUAA